GCUGGGGCUGUGGUCUUCAAGUCCAGUCUGGAGGCUCAACUAGCAAGGAAUCCACUUCUGAGCUCACUCACCUAUUGGGAGAAUUCAGUUCUGUGCACCCUACACCAGCUGGGGUAUUUAUUAAACACACAGACUCGUGGACUACAUGUGGACCAAUUGAGUCGGCACCCCUGACACCCCUUAAUCCUGCUAUACAUUAACAUUAAGGAAUCACGGGCAUAAACACAAAGGCUUAGGCUCUAGAGAUAUAGUUGAGGGUCUGCUUUCUGACCUAGAAUGUUUCCCCCACCAGCCUCACCUUGCUCAUCUGUGAAAGAGAUUUAUUACCCACGCUUUCUUUAUAGGGUUGCUCUGAGGCUGAGACCAGACAGGUCACAGAGGAAGACACUUGGUAAAUUUUCUGGCACAAGAGGCACAGCUGUGAAGGGCUCGACAGGUGAAUUAAAUGGAGAGCCUGCAUUCGACGUGGGAGGGUCUUAAGUGGGAAGAGUUUAAGAAGCCUCUUCCAGGGCCAGCGGCUCUAGAACAAUUUCUGCAGCGGGGACGGAAGGCUGCUCUGCCUGAGAGCUCACCCUCAGAGGAAAUUCCUCAUCCAGGUCGAAGAGGGACUGAAGCUGGCAGACUACACGUCCCUAGCAGGGGCGACAAUAAAUGAGGUAGAAAGCGGCUAGAGGAAUGGAGAGUGCAUCUAAGAAAGGAGAAAGUGCAAGACUUUCUAGAAAAACCACAGUCCUCUGGGGGGGGAAGCCUAAUUAGAAGCCCUCGAUGAAACAGGCAAACAGAACAGAUAUUCCCCUUUC